rnacentral:rRNA from 1 species
CAAUAGCGUAUAUUAAAGUUGUUGCAGUUAAAAAGCUCGUAGUCGGAUUUUGGUACAAUCGAAUGCGUCGGCCGAACGGUCUGUAUGUGUUGGGUUGUGCUUCCUUCUGGAGGUCCUGUCUGCUCUUAACUGAGUGGGCUGGGUGUUCAGAUAUUUUACUUUGAAAAAAUUAGAGUGUUCAAAGCAGGCUUAUGCUGUGAAUACAUUAGCAUGGGAUAAUGGAAUAGGACUUUGGUUCUAUUUUGUUGGUUUCUAGGACCGAAGUAAUGAUUAAUAGGGAUAGUUGGGGGCAUUCAUAUUUAAUUGUCAGAGGUGAAAUUCUUGGAUUUAUGAAAGAUGAACUUCUGCGAAAGCAUUUGCCAAGGAUGUUUUCAUUG